CACACAGAAUGAGACACGCCUUUUUCUCGGCUCCGUUGUUGGGUCGGUGGGCAGCGGGCUGCUGGUGAUUGACCAGCCUCUCUCCCUGAUCUGUCAGCCGGCUGGCUUGGCGCCUCCCCUCUCCUCUAUAUAUGUAGGAAAUCUAUUCAUUCCUUUCACACCGAGCCUGCUGAAGUAAGAGGAACUGUGAGGCUCCGCGGGAUGUGUUGACAGACUAGAAUUCUGCAUUUCGGUUUAUAUUCCCUCGCUAAUUUUCGGCGAUAUUAGAGCAGCUGUUGCCGUGUUUACAGCGCCGUGGUAUAAUCUCAAAUACCUCCUGCUACCAGUAACGUCAUUAUUUGAUUUUCUUUUCCGUUGCCUCUGCCUCUGAGCCGCUGGUUAUCUAAGAUGAAGGCUGUUACUCCGGUCCACCCCCAGGACUCCUCCUCCAGCAGUAGCCAGCUCUCCGUGCACUAUCUGUCGAAGCAGAGCCUCAACAUCGCCCGGUGCAGGAUGGAAGAGGAGGACAUGUUCUGCCUGCAGUACGACAUGAACGACUGCUACAGCCGACUGAAGCGCCUGGUGCCCACCAUUCCACAGGAUAAGAAAGUCAGCAAAGUGGAGAUCCUCCAGCAUGUCAUAGACUACAUCCUGGACCUGCAGCUGGCCCUGGAGACGCACCCUUCUCUCCAUAAACAACAGCCACAGCGGACCGGGACCUGCCCUCCCCCAGCCUCCAACCCCAGUCGGACACCGCUGACGGUGCUCAACAUUGACCACCACCAGGAUUGGUGAAGUACCUCGGGCUGCAGCCCACUCCACUGCGCACAAUAAGAGGACGUCAAUAGUCAAAAAGCCGGAGGACUCUAUUUUAUGCCGCUGAGAUACAAGCACUGCAUUGGUGUGUAGGCUGCACAGAGCCGCUCCAAAGCCAGCAAAAGCUUCGCCAGGGACUCACACCCAACUGGAGGCACAAUCACAACGGGAUUUCAAAACCGCUGCGAGGAACUCAACCCAAAUAAAAUCACUAUUCAUAUCAGCUUUUCUUUUUGUUUUGUUCCAUUGAACGAGGAGUCAAUAUGUAGACAUCUCCCUCUCCUCCCCCCCCUGUUUAAGUUGCUCUAACUUUACUGCUUGUCACUUGAAUGUCACUUGUUUUCUAAUUAGAGUGAAAAUAUGGAAUCCCCACGCUGAGGAGUUUUUGUUGGAAAACCUGUCUGUCAACAGCUAUGAAAACUGCUUGUGAAUUGUGCUUAAAGAUUAACUAAAAUGACUCCAGUUUAAAGCUUUACUAAACUGCGAAAAAUCACUGUACAUUUUUUUGGACAUCUAUUGUUUAAAAUAGAUGAUUUGUGUUCAACAGGGAUCAUCCCUGGAAUUAUAAAAUGUUUGAUAUUGUAAAGAGGAACAAUUCCGAUUCGGGACAAUUAAGAAUGUACAUAUAUAGAGACACAAAUGUUCUAUAAAAAGUAUGUGAAUGGAAGACUUAUAUGCUUAAAAUAGACUAUUGUAAUUAUAAGAUAUUUUUAUCAAAACCUUUCUUUUGUCGUUAUGUAAAUAUUGUGUUUCAACUUUGAAGUCUUUAGUGAAUGAACGUGGUUAUGCUCUGCCAAUAAUGUCCUCACAUGAUAUCAGUUAACUCUUUGCAGUGUUUUUUGGAAUAGUUCCAAUAUGUAGCAUGUCAGGCUCAUUGCAGAGGUAUCAAAUGUGCACUGAAGCAGCCCUCCUGAUGUAGAUAUGUGGUGGAGUUCAACACAAGUUCUUUUAUUAUUUGCCCUGCUCUGCUUUCUCUUGGAUUAUUUUGUACUCAUUAACUAUGACAACGUUGACCUGCUAGGAGCAGUGGGUCACUCUGCUGUUUGAUCUUUCAAAAAACAAAGAAAAAAAGAAAAGAGGCCCAAUUUGAUUCUGUUACAUUGCACUCUUGUAAUACACAUUACAUCUUGAGAGUUAACAGCACUUCUGGCAGUGUUUACAAUACCUUAAAAAAAAUCACUACAAAACAAUGUAUCUGUUAUUUUUUGUGCAGUCAGAGCUUCUCCUUGCGAGGUUAAUGAUUGACACCGCAAAAUCAUUCAACUUUGGUUAUGAAUUGAUGAAACGUGAACAUUAACAGACUCCUUUUUGGACAACAACCAAUUGUAUUCAGACAGGCAAUGUCUUUAAUUAGAUAUUAAACGAUUUCCCUGUUGGAGAUUCAGCAGCCUUUGUUAAGAGAAAAAUGUAAAGAUGAAAGAAGAAGCCUUUAUUUUUCAUGACAUUGAACACCGAAUUUACCUCACCACCCUCCUGCCAGUGUGAGAGGGCACUUGUACAUUACUGUCAGCUGCACUGUUGGACUUGGCCUUCACUGGCUUGUGAGGAGUUGUCAAAACAAUUAAAGUUUCCAGGAAGAA